rnacentral:rRNA from 2 species
GUUGUAUGGUUAAGUGACUAAGCGUACACGGUGGAUGCCUUGGCAGUCAGAGGCGAUGAAGGACGUAGUAACUUGCGAUAAGCCCAGAUAAGGCAGUAACAGCCAUUUGAAUCUGGGAUUUCCGAAUGGGGAAACCCACGUGCAUAAGCACGUAUCAUGCAGUGAAUACAUAGCUGUAUGAGGCGAACUCGGGGAACUGAAACAUCUAAGUACCCGAAGGAAAAGAAAUCAAUUGAGAUUCCGGCAGUAGCGGCGAGCGACCCCGGAUUAGCCCUUAAGCGGUUUAAGUGUUAGUGGAAUCAUCUGGAAAGGUGAGCGAUACAGGGUGAUAGCCCCGUACACGACAAUGCUUUUACCGUGAAAACGAGUAGGACGGGACACGUGUUAUCUUGUCUGAACAUGGGGGGACCAUCCUCCAAGGCUAAAUACUCCUGACUGACCGAUAGUGAACCAGUACCGUGAGGGAAAGGCGAAAAGAACCCCUGUGAGGGGAGUGAAAUAGAACCUGAAACCGUGUACGUACAAGCAGUGGGAGCCCACUUUGUUGGGUGACUGCGUACCUUUUGUAUAAUGGGUCAGCGACUUACUUUUAGUAGCAAGGUUAACCGUAUAGGGGAGCCGUAGGGAAACCGAGUCUUAACUGGGCGUUGUAGUUGCUAGGAGUAGACCCGAAACCGAGUGAUCUAGCCAUGGGCAGGUUGAAGAUUGAGUAACAUCAAUUGGAGGACCGAACCGACUAAUGUUGAAAAAUUAGCGGAUGACUUGUGGCUAGGGGUGAAAGGCCAAUCAAACUCGGAGAUAGCUGGUUCUCCCCGAAAUCUAUUUAGGUAGAGCCUCGGACGAAUACUACUGGGGGUAGAGCACUGUUAAGGCUAGGGGGUCAUCCCGACUUACCAACCCUUUGCAAACUCCGAAUACCAGUAAGUACUAUCCGGGAGACACACGGCGGGUGCUAACGUCCGUCGUGAAGAGGGAAACAACCCAGACCGCCAGCUAAGGUCCCAAAGUUAUCGCUAAGUGGGAAACGAUGUGGGAAGGCUCAGACAGCCAGGAUGUUGGCUUAGAAGCAGCCAUCAUUUAAAGAAAGCGUAAUAGCUCACUGGUCGAGUCGGCCUGCGCGGAAGAUGUAACGGGGCUAAGCGAUACACCGAAGCUGCGGCAAUGUGCUU